rnacentral:lncRNA from 1 species
CUAAGUCCUAAUCAUGCAAGAGAUGAAGGGAAAGAAAUAAGACCACAAAUGGAGUUCCCUUCUUAAGAUCAUAUUGAUGAUCCAAGUAGCUCCCAUCCUUUAGAAUAAGCAAGCAAAUAAGUGUAUACUCAAGCAAUCAAUCAAUCAAGCAAAGCUCUUAGGAAUCCUCCCAUGGCUCUUAGAUUUCUCACUUUAGAAGCUCAUGACAAUGGUUCUUCACUUAGGCUCAAUGUUGGAAUCCCUAGCACAAGAACAC